rnacentral:rRNA from 1 species
GAUGAACGCUAGCGGCAGGCUUAAUACAUGCAAGUCGAGGGGCAGCAGCUUUGUAGCAAUACAGGGGCUGGCGACCGGCAAACGGGUGCGGAACACGUACGCAACCUUCCUUUAACUGGAAGAUAGCCCACCGAAAGGUGGAUUAAUACUCCAUAACAUAUUGAAGAGGCAUCUCUUUGAUAUUAAAGCUCCGGCGGUUAAAGAUGGGCGUGCGUCUGAUUAGGUAGUUGGCGGGGUAACGGCCCACCAAGCCUUCGAUCAGUAGCUGAUGUGAGAGCAUGAUCAGCCACACGGGCACUGAGACACGGGCCCGACUCCUACGGGAGGCAGCAGUAAGGAAUAUUGGUCAAUGGACGCAAGUCUGAACCAGCCAUGCCGCGUGGAGGAUGAAGGCCCUCUGGGUUGUAAACUUCUUUUCUUUGGGACGAAACCCCUGUUUCUACGGGGACUGACGGUACCAGAGGAAUAAGCACCGGCUAACUCCGUGCCAGCCGCCGCAGUAAAAC